rnacentral:rRNA from 1 species
CUACGUGCCAGCAGCCGCGGUAAUACGUAGGUGGCAAGCGUUGUCCGGAAUUAUUGGGCGUAAAGCGCGCGCAGGUGGUUUAAUAAGUCUGAUGUGAAAGCCCACGGCUCAACCGUGGAGGGUCAUUGGAAACUGUUAAACUUGAGUGCAGGAGAGAAAAGUGGAACUCCUGGUGUAGCGGUGGAAUGCGCAGAUAUCAGGAAGAACACCGGUGGCGAAGGCGGCUUUUUGGCCUGUAACUGACACUGAGGCGCGAAAGCGUGGGGAGCAAACAGGAUUAGAUACCCUGGUAGUCCACGCUGUAAACGAUGUCGACUUGGAGGUUGUGCCCUUGAGGCGUGGCUUCCGGAGCUAACGCGUUAAGUCGACCGCCUGGGGAGUACGGCCGCAAGGUUAAAACUCAAAUGAAUUGACGGGGGCCCGCACAAGCGGUGGAGCAUGUGGUUUAAUUCGAUGCAACGCGAAGAACCUUACCUACUCUUGACAUCCAGA